UUGCUGCAGGGCCCCAGCGGGGCAUCCGGUGUCCUAUCCAGGGCCUGCGGGGCCUGGGAGCCUUGACUGCCCUUCCCAGCCAGCAGAUCCAUGAGGGCUUUCACCUGCUCGGCUGGGGAGCCCGUACCGUGGCCCUGGCCGGCCUCCCUGCCCGUCCGCACCUCUUGCUUCCUCAUGGAGUCGGGGAUCACCUCCAGGAGCUGUGAAGAGAGGGCCUGAACCUGCUGCCUGCCGUGCCCCCCAUCCAGCAGCCUGGGACAGGUAAAAGUGGAAUUGCUGGGUCCUGCAGUCAAUCUACGGUUAACAUUCUGGAGAACCACCCUGGUCCAAUCUUAAGGCAUGCCG
rnacentral:lncRNA from 1 species